GUCCGAUUAGCUAGUUGGUGGGGUAACGGCCCACCAAGGUUCCGAUCGGUAGCUGUUCUGAGAGGAAGAUCAGCCACACUGGGACUGAGACACGGCCCAGACUCCUACGGGAGGCAGCAGUUGGGAAUCUUGGACAAUGGGGGAAACCCUGAUCCAGCUAUGCCGCGUGAGUGAUGAAGGCCUUCGGGUUGUAAAACUCUUUCGCGCACGACGAUAAUGACGGUAGUGCGAGAAGAAGCUCCGGCUAACUUCGUGCCAGCAGCCGCGGUAAUACGAAGGGGGCUAGCGUGUUCGGAAUUACUGGGCGUAAAGCGCGCGCAGGCGGCUAUCCAAGUCAGUGGUGAAAGCCCGGCGCUCAACUCCGGAACUGCCAUUGAAACUGUUUAGCUUGAGUAUGAGAGAGGUGAGUGGAAUUCCCAGUGUAGAGGUGAAAUUCGUAGAUAUUGGGAAGAACACCGGUGGCGAAGGCGGCUCACUGGCUCAUUACUUACGCUCAGGCGCGACAGCGUGGGGAUCA
rnacentral:rRNA from 1 species